UACGUAGGGUGCAAGCGUUGUCCGGCAUUAUUGGGCGUAAAGAGCUCGUAGGCGGUCUGUCGCGUCGGAUGUGAAAAUCCAGGGCUCAACCCUGGACCUGCAUUCGAUACGGGCAGACUAGAGUUCGGUAGGGGAGACUGGAAUUCCUGGUGUAGCGGUGAAAUGCGCAGAUAUCAGGAGGAACACCGGUGGCGAAGGCGGGUCUCUGGGCCGAUACUGACGCUGAGGAGCGAAAGCGUGGGGAGCGAACAGG
rnacentral:rRNA from 1 species